UUUCCACCCUGCGAACCGCCGGGCUGGCGGGACGGUCCAAAUGUCUCAUUGUUGACUCAGCUGGCUUCAGAACUCUCAUUUCGGUGCUGGAAUUCACAAUAUUAGUACUUUGUACAGGGACCUUUCAUGAACGCCUGACAACUGACAGGUCAAUUCAUCACAGACGAAGAAGAAUGGAGAGAAUGGUUGGACCACUUAGACAUUUCUGACAUCUCACAAAAAAAUCAUAAAAGGUUUGUAUUUAGGUCAUUUUAUGUGAAUUGAAUUUUUUUAAUUUUUGUAAAUUUUAACUGAUCUAAGCUAUAUGAGUUGUAUGUU